AAAUUCUUCAUUCCCAGUGCUUUAAGAGGCUAACAAAAAAGGGUAAAAGAGUCCUCCCUAAAAAUCAGGGAAGAGAUUGCAAAACUCCUCUUUGGAUCCUAUCUGGAGUUAUCGUU
ensembl:snoRNA